rnacentral:lncRNA from 1 species
GAAAAUAUUACAAAGAAUGACUAAUCCAUCAUUUCGCCAUUAAGUAGUGUUUAUACACACAAUUUUUCUUCCAAAACUCCAUUAAAUGGCAGCAAAAUAUACAGACCAAAAGCUACACGAAACAACCCACAAAACAGUCUAUUACAAAUCAAAUAACUCGAACUCACUACUUCCGAUUACCGUCCCGUGAGUUCUAACUAUUAUGAAAUAAAUUAAUCAAUCUUCCUUGAUGUUUAAGAGCUUGAAACCAGAAAUUAGAAAUUUUUAUUAACCUCAAAAUACCUUCCAAAACUCAAACUACAAAGAAAAAGAGAGGUUAUAUAGCGAUACUUACGUCGUGGGGAUUGUUCUAGUGUUAUUGCUUCGUGAUUUCGUGCCUCGGACGAUAAUCUUGUUGGAUAACUUUGUGGAAAGCUUAAAGGUGAGGUUAGGGGUCUUAUUUGGUCGAGC